AUGGCACAACUUAGAGAAACUCCUACCCAGUUUCCCCUCCCACACAAGCUUCACUCUCCUCCAGAUGGCAUGAAUCAUUUCCGCUGCUUCCCAGCUGAAGGUGGAAGAGGCUGUACCCAUGCAGCUGUUACCCAGAGGCAUACCUGGAUAUUGCUUCAUCAGGAUGAAAGCAAAUCAUUAGGUUCACUCCAAGAUAGGAAGAUGAGAACCAGUGCCAUGAAGAACUUGCUGAGAAAGAAGACAUUACCUUGAACUCGGCUGAAAUCCAAGUUCAUGAUAAUACCCCUUUUCUUUAUCCUAUACAAUCUCAAGAAUAAAAAAUACAUAUGACAGCAUUUAUCUGGGAAUCCAACAUUAAUUUGAACUAUUUUCCUCAUCACUUUUAAAGUCUUUGUAUAGUUGUCAAAAUACUCAGAUAUAUUAUAAAAUACCCAGAAGGUCUCCAAAAAGAACUCCUCAAUCAGCCCUACAGGGUUGUCUGUAUAGCGCAGCCUGCAAAGUCUUCAGCUGUGCUCUGACCAGGUGGAACUAUCCUGACAAGGCACACCAGACCAUGCCCAAGUACGGACUACUGUGAAUGGGUGCAAAGAAGAGGCAAUAUGAGAAACUUUCCUGGCCUCUCACUGCUUUGAGAGCUGGAAUGUUUAAGAACAUAGAUGAAAGAGUCUAAUGUCUGGUAUUUAUCUAGCAGCCUGUACCAUGUUCCCAAGAAGAAGGUACUUACUUCAAGAGCUCAUCUUCAGAGAGCACGAGCCUCUGAUUCUGACUCACCAGAAUGUGGUGUGAGGCAGUCAACCUUACACUCAU
rnacentral:lncRNA from 1 species